CAAUAGCGUAUAUUAAAGUUGUUGCAGUUAAAAGCUCGUAGUUGGAUUUCUGUUAGGGUGAGGCGGCCGGCCACUCGUGGUUGUAGCUUGUUAUCACCUUGGCAUCUUGUCACAAUCCGCGAUGGCAUUCACUUGUUGUCGCUGGGGACUGACUCGUUUACUUUGAGAAAAUUAGAGUGUUCAAAGCAGGCUAUCGCCUUGAAUAUAUUAGCAUGGAAUAAUGAUAUAGGACUUUGGUUCUAUUUUGUUGGUUGUUCGAGAACCGAAGUAAUGAUUGAUAGGGACAGUUGGGGGCGUCAGUAUUCUGAAGCGAGAGGUGAAAUUCUUGGACCUUCGGAAGACUAACAACUGCGAAAGCAUUCGCCUAGGAUGUUCUCUUUAAUUCAAGAACGAAAGUUAGGGGGAGUCGAAGACGAUCAGAUACCAU
rnacentral:rRNA from 1 species